rnacentral:rRNA from 1 species
UUACUUAAAGCGUAUGGAGGAUGCCUAGACUGAAGUAAGCGAUGAAGGACGUAGCAGGUUGCGAUAAGCCUCGGGGAGCUGCCAAGCAAGCUUUGAUCCGAGGAUUUCCGAAUGAGACAACUCUUCGCCGAUGAGGCGAAAUCAUUAACUGAAUUCAUAGGUUAAUGAAGCACACCCUGGGAACUGAAACAUCUUAGUACCAGGAGGAAAAGAAAACAAUAGUGAUUCCGCAAGUAGUGGCGAGCGAAAGCGGAACAGCCGACACUCUUUAGCAUUGAUCCAAUAGAAUGUCUCUGGAAAGAGCGACCAUAGAGGGUAAUAGUCCCGUAUAUGAACGAUUGAUGUGGAAAUAGGUGUGUCAAAAAGUAGGGCGGGACCGGAGAAAUCCCGUUUGAAGAUGGGAGCACUAACUUCCAAGGCUAAAUAUUACUUCAGAUCGAUAGUGAACUAGUACCGUGAGGGAAAGGUGAAAAGCAUCCCGAUAAGGGAGAUGAAAUAGUAUCUGAAACCAUACGCUAACAAAGAAUCAGAGCCCCUGUCGUAUGGACUAGACCCGAAGCCAGGCGAGCUACAUAUGAGCAGGGUGAACUCCGAGUAACAUCGGGGGGAGGCCCGAACCCACUAGUCGUUCGACUCUAGGGGAUGACUUGUGUGUAGAGGAGAAAUUCCAAUCGAGCUUGGCAAUAGCUGGUUCUCUCCGAAAUAGCUUGAGGGCUAGCGUUCGGUAAAUGAGCAUGGGAGGUAGAGCUACUGAAUGAGGCCGCGCGGCUUGCCGUAGCGAUCUCAACCAAACUCCGAAUUCCCAUGUUUCUUAUCCGAGCAGUCAGAAAUCCGGCUCUAAGGUCGGAUCUCAAAAGGGAAAAAGCCCAGAUCAUAAUCUAAGGUCCCCAAAUUCAUGUUAAGUGGAAAAGGAAGUAAAGUUUCUCAAACACCUAGGAGGUUGGCUUAGAAGCAGCCAUCCUUUAAAGAGUGCGUAAUAGCUCACUAGUUUAGAGAUUUUGCGCCGAAAAUGUAACGGGGCUAAACAUGAUACCGAAGAUAUGGACUCCAGUGCAUGACACUGGAAUUUUCAAUCAAUGAUUUAAUGACUUAAUUUUUAAAUUUAAUAAAUUAAGAAAUUAGAAAUUGUUUAGAAAUUAGAAAUUAGAAAUUAGAAAUUCCAAUGUUGUGCAUUGGUUUGGUAGGAGAGCGUUCCUUGUGCGUUGAAGCCUAAGGCGUGAGCCGUGGUGGAGCGCAGGGAAGUGAGAAUGUUGGCAUAAGUAACCGCAAUGCACGUGAGAGCCGUGCACCCCGAAAGUCCAAGGUUUCCUGGGCAAUGGUGAUCAUCCCAGGGUUAGUCGGUCCUAAGGCGAGGCUGAAAAGCGUAGUCGAUGGACAACAGGUUAAUAUUCCUGUACUGAAAUAAUAUUCGAUGGAGGGACGCAUUUUAGUAUAUUCUGCGCCUUAAUGGAUUGGCGUAGGGUUUUUAAGGAAGCUUUCUAGGAAAAUCCGGAAAGCAAUAUUCCAAGAAUUCUCUGGAACCCCGACCUCGUGUCGGGGGAACAGAAUAAAGCAAAGUGCCAGGAAAAACUUCUAAGAUUAGUAUUAUUUCAUCCGUACCGCAAACCGACACAGGUGGACAGGGCGAGUAGCCCAAGGGGAACGGGAGAACCUUCGUUAAGGAACUCGGCAAAAAAACUAGACGUAAGUUCGCGAAAUGUCUUUCCUGCUCGCAAGAGUAGGACGCAGUGAAAAUUUC